rnacentral:rRNA from 1 species
UACGUAGGUGGCAAGCGUUAUCCGGAUUUAUUGGGUUUAAAGGGUGCGCAGGCGGACACUCAAGUCAGCGGUAAAAUAGCGGGGCUUAACCCCGUCGAGCCGUUGAAACUGGGUGUCUUGAGUGAGCGAGAAGUAUGCGGAAUGCGUGGUGUAGCGGUGAAAUGCAUAGAUAUCGCGCAGAACCCCGAUUGCGAAGGCAGCCUGCCGGCGCUCAACUGACGCUGAAGCACGAAAGCGUGGGGAUCGAA